rnacentral:rRNA from 1 species
UUUAGUUGGGCGGACGGGUGAGUAACGCGUGGGUAACCUGCCUUACACAGGGGGAUAACACUUAGAAAUAGGUGCUAAAACCGCAUAAGCGCACAGCUUCGCAUGAAGCGGUGUGAAAAACUCCGGUGGUGUAAGAUGGACCCGCGUCUGAUUAGCUUGUUGGCGGGGUAACGGCCCACCAAGGCGACGAUCAGUAGCCGGCCUGAGAGGGCGGACGGCCACAUUGGGACUGAGACACGGCCCAGACUCCUACGGGAGGCAGCAG